UUGAACGCUGGCGGCAGGCCUAACACAUGCAAGUCGAACGGUAGCACAGAGGAGCUUGCUCCUUGGGUGACGAGUGGCGGACGGGUGAGUAAUGUCUGGGAAACUGCCUGAUGGAGGGGGAUAACUACUGGAAACGGUAGCUAAUACCGCAUAACGUCGCGAGACCAAAGUGGGGGACCUUCGGGCCUCACACCAUCGGAUGUGCCCAGGUGGGAUUAGCUAGUAGGUGGGGUAAUGGCUCACCUAGGCGACGAUCCCUAGCUGGUCUGAGAGGAUGACCAGCCACACUGGAACUGAGACACGGUCCAGACUCCUACGGGAGGCAGCAGUGGGGAAUAUUGCACAAUGGGCGCAAGCCUGAUGCAGCCAUGCCGCGUGUAUGAAGAAGGCCUUCGGGUUGUAAAGUACUUUCAGCGGGGAGGAAGGCGGUGAGGUUAAUAACCUCGCCGAUUGACGUUACCCGCAGAAGAAGCACCGGCUAACUCCGUGCCAGCAGCCGCGGUAAUACGGAGGGUGCAAGCGUUAAUCGGAAUUACUGGGCGUAAAGCGCACGCAGGCGGUCUGUUAAGUCAGAUGUGAAAUCCCCGGGCUUAACCUGGGAACUGCAUUUGAAACUGGCAGGCUUGAGUCUCGUAGAGGGGGGUAGAAUUCCAGGUGUAGCGGUGAAAUGCGUAGAGAUCUGGAGGAAUACCGGUGGCGAAGGCGGCCCCCUGGACGAAGACUGACGCUCAGGUGCGAAAGCGUGGGGGAGCAAACAGGAUUAGAUACCCUGGUAGUCCACGCCGUAAACGAUGUCGACUUGGAGGUUGUGCCCUUGAGGCGUGGCUUCCGGAGCUAACGCGUUAAGUCGACCGCCUGGGGAGUACGGCCGCAAGGUUAAAACUCAAAUGAAUUGACGGGGGCCCGCACAAGCGGUGGAGCAUGUGGUUUAAUUCGAUGCAACGCGAAGAACCUUACCUGGCCUUGACAUCCAGAGAACUUAGCAGAGAUGCUUUGGUGCCUUCGGGAACUCUGAGACAGGUGCUGCAUGGCUGUCGUCAGCUCGUGUUGUGAAAUGUUGGGUUAAGUCCCGCAACGAGCGCAACCCUUAUCCUUUGUUGCCAGCGGUUCGGCCGGGAACUCAAAGGAGACUGCCGGUGAUAAACCGGAGGAAGGUGGGGAUGACGUCAAGUCAUCAUGGCCCUUACGGCCAGGGCUACACACGUGCUACAAUGGCGCAUACAAAGAGAAGCGACCUCGCGAGAGCAAGCGGACCUCAUAAAGUGCGUCGUAGUCCGGAUUGGAGUCUGCAACUCGACUCCAUGAAGUCGGAAUCGCUAGUAAUCGUAGAUCAGAAUGCUACGGUGAAUACGUUCCCGGGCCUUGCACACACCGCC
rnacentral:rRNA from 1 species